GACGAACGCUGGCGGCGUGCUUAACACAUGCAAGUCGAACGAAGAGCGAUGGAAGCUUGCUUCUAUCAAUCUUAGUGGCGAACGGGUGAGUAACGCGUAAUCAACCUGCCCUUCAGAGGGGGACAACAGUUGGAAACGACUGCUAAUACCGCAUACGAUCUAAUCUCGGCAUCGAGGAUAGAUGAAAGGUGGCCUCUACAUGUAAGCUAUCACUGAAGGAGGGGAUUGCGUCUGAUUAGCUAGUUGGAGGGGUAACGGCCCACCAAGGCGAUGAUCAGUAGCCGGUCUGAGAGGAUGAACGGCCACAUUGGGACUGAGACACGGCCCAGACUCCUACGGGAGGCAGCAGUGGGGAAUCUUCCGCAAUGGACGAAAGUCUGACGGAGCAACGCCGCGUGAGCGAUGACGGCCUUCGGGUUGUAAAGCUCUGUUAAUCGGGACGGAAGGCCUUCUUGCGAAUAGUGAGAAGGAUUGACGGUACCGGAAUAGAAAGCCACGGCUAACUACGUG
rnacentral:rRNA from 1 species